CUUUGGGUUUUGGCUCCACUGUGGGAAUGGCCUUUCCUCAUCCUGCCCACGGAACAGUGAGUGUCUGUCAGCGCCUCACCGCACCGGCUCCCUGCCUCAGAUUAUAGGCUCCAGUAGCUGAAGUGAAGUUAACUGGACUACAGUCACCUGGUUUUUAUCUUCCACCCUUCUUCAACAAUGGUUUUCAACUCCACUGGGACCUUUCUGUAACAUUUUCAUCAUACGUUAAUGCGGAAGAGUGAACAGUAAACGGUUAAUAUUACUGGGAUUGCCCCUCAUUGCCCGGUUUAUACUUGGUGUUUAGUUCAGAGUUUUUACACCUGUGCGAGAACACAACAGAGUCAGAAAGGAGAGUGCGAGGGAAAUCCGUGCCUUCACCCAGCUCAGGCUACCCUGCAUAGACUCGGUGAGACUCCGUCCGUCUACCUGCGAGCUCGGAGCUGUAAAAUGUCAUCGAUCUG